AUUGAACGCUGGCGGCAUGCUUUACACAUGCAAGUCGAACGGCAGCACGGGCUUCGGCCUGGUGGCGAGUGGCGAACGGGUGAGUAAUGCAUCGGAACGUGCCCAUGUUGUGGGGGAUAACUACGCGAAAGCGUGGCUAAUACCGCAUACGCCCUGAGGGGGAAAGCGGGGGAUUCUUCGGAACCUCGCGCAAUUGGAGCGGCCGAUGUCAGAUUAGCUUGUUGGUGAGGUAAAGGCUCACCAAGGCGACGAUCUGUAGCGGGUCUGAGAGGAUGAUCCGCCACACUGGGACUGAGACACGGCCCAGACUCCUACGGGAGGCAGCAGUGGGGAAUUUUGGACAAUGGGGGCAACCCUGAUCCAGCCAUGCCGCGUGAGUGAAGAAGGCCUCGGUUGUAAGACUCUUUCUAGCCGGGAAGAAACGACACGCUCUACACUAGACGUGU
rnacentral:rRNA from 1 species